rnacentral:rRNA from 1 species
GACAGAGGGGGCAAGCGUUGCUCGGAAUUACUGGGCGUAAAGGGCGCGCAGGCGGUUCUGUUUGUCGAGUGUGAAAGCCCCGGGCUCAACCUGGGAACUGCGCUCGAAACGGCGGAACUAGAGUUCGGGAGAGGAGAGUGGAAUUCCCAGUGUAGAGGUGAAAUUCGUAGAUAUUGGGAAGAACACCGGUGGCGAAGGCGGCUCUCUGGACCGAUACUGACGCUGAGGCGCGAAGGUCAGGGGAGCAAACGGG